rnacentral:sRNA from 1 species
AUAACAAAUAAGUGGCGCAGUAUCCUAGUCAGCGCAUACGAUUCCCAAGACGGGCCUAAAAAUCCGUAAAAGGGCAUAUCGAUGAAGUCUCUGGUGUUUGCUUCUUACGCCCAGUUUGGGGUGGAUGCUGGAGGUUAAGGCUCGAGGGCGCGCUUCAAUGGCAUGAAGUACCGACCCUCCCGCCGUGGAGACCUGCAUGCGUGGGGCACCUAUAAUAUCGACCCGAUUGAUGGAUGCUCUACGGUGCAGGAUGAAACCUGCAAUGCGGUGCGGCGCAACUGCGCGUGUUCUCCCGCCUGCCCGGAAACGGUGUAGGAAAAUGGGCGGCGCGCACGAGCAAAACGCUGUGUGCAGUGUAGCCUGCCUUGCGUGGUUAUGGUGGAUAUCGUAUCCGCCCGCGUUUUCCCGGCCAGGAAAACGCGGGAAUUGACGGUUGAAACCAUAUCUGCAAAAGAGGCUAAGAAUCGUGUUGCCUGCAGUGGAAAACACCUAGGCUGUUCUGACGAGGCAGAUUGAGGAUUGCAGUGCGGACUCAGUGGCAAUUCGGUCCCGGUGAUGGUAACAUCCCGGCACGGACUUUAAUGGGAAACCCCCACGACGGCGACGCGUGGCAGUCCGCGGGGAAAUCCAACCGAACCUCAAGCCGCAAGAUUUACUCAGUCUGCUGCCACUUUUCUUAAAAA